AGAGUUUGAUCAUGGCUCAGAACGAACGCUGGCGGCGCGUUUUAAGCAUGCAAGUCGGACGGUAGGGAGCGAGAGCUUCCGAGAGUGGCGAACGGGUGAGUAACACGCGGAUAAUGUACCCUCCAGUUAGGGACAGCUCAUGGAAACAUGGGGUAAUACCUGAUACGAUCGGGCGAGCGAAAGGUGGUCUGAGGAAAGGCGCCAAGGCGUCGCUGGGGGAGCAGUUCGCGGCCCACUAGCUUGUUGGCAGGGUAAUGGCCUACCAAGGCGACGAUGGGUAGCCGGCCUGAGAGGGUGUACGGCCACAUUGGGACUGAGACACGGCCCAGACUCCUACGGGAGGCAGCAGCUAAGAAUCUUCCGCAAUGGACGAAAGUCUGACGGAGCGACGCCGCGUGAACGAUGAAGGCCGUGAGGUUGUAAAGUUCUUUUCCGGGGGGAGAAUAGAGGCGGCAGGGAAUGGUCGUCUGAUGACGGGAACCCGGGAAUAAGCCCCGGCUAACUACGUGCCAGCAGCCGCGGUAACACGUAGGGGGCGAGCGUUGUUCGGAAUUAUUGGGCGUAAAGGGUGCGCAGGCGGCGCUUCAAGUCUGGUGUGAAAGACCCCGGCUCAACCGGGGGGACGCGCUGGAAACUGGGGUGCUGGAGUACAGGAGGGGGAGUUGGAAUUCCAGGCGUAGGGGUGAAAUCUGUAGAUAUCUGGAAGAACACCGGUGGCGAAGGCGAACUCCUGGCCAUGUACUGACGCUGAGGCACGAAGGCGUGGGGAGCAAACAGGUUUAGAUACCCUGGUAGUCCACGCAGUAAACGAUGUACACUUGGUGGUGGGUGGCAGCACUCAGUACCGUAGCAAACGCAAUAAGUGUACCGCCUGGGGAGUAUGCUCGCAAGGGUGAAACUCAAAUGAAUUGACGG
rnacentral:rRNA from 1 species